AUUGAACGCUGGCGGCAUGCCUUACACAUGCAAGUCGAGCGGUAACAGGUCUUCGGAUGCUGACGAGUGGCGAACGGGUGAGUAAUACAUCGGAACGUGCCUAGUAGUGGGGGAUAACUACUCGAAAGAGUGGCUAAUACCGCAUGAGAUCUAAGGAUGAAAGCAGGGGAUCGCAAGACCUUGUGCUACUAGAGCGGCCGAUGGCAUAUUAGGUAGUUGGUGGGAUAAAAGCUUACCAAGCCGACGAUCUGUAGCUGGUCUGAGAGGACGAUCAGCCACACUGGGACUAAGACACGGCCCAGACUCCUACGGGAGGCAGCAGUGGGGAAUUUUGGACAAUGGGCGCAAGCCUGAUCCAGCAAUGCCGCGUGCAGGAUGAAGGCCUUCGGGUUGUAAACUGCCUUUGUACGGAACGAAAAGCCCUGGGUUAAUAACCUGGGGUCAUGACGGUACCGUAAGAAUAAGCACCAGCUAACUACGUGCCAGCCGCCGCCGUAAGAC
rnacentral:rRNA from 1 species